GUUUCAGCAGCCGCGGUAAAACGUAGGAGGCGAGCGUUAUCCGGAUUUACUGGGCGUAAAGCGCGCGCAGGCGGUUCCGUUAGUCGGACGUGAAAGCUCCUGGCUUAACUGGGAGAGGCCGUUCGAUACUGCGGGACUUGAGGUUGGGAGAGGAGUGUGGAAUUCCCGGUGUAGUGGUGGAAUGCGUAGAGAUCGGGAGGAACACCUGUGGCGAAAGCGGCACUCUGGCCCACACCUGACGCUGAGGUGCGAAAGCGUGGGUAGCAAACAGGAUUAGAUACCCUUGUAGUCC
rnacentral:rRNA from 1 species